rnacentral:rRNA from 1 species
UACGGAGGGUGCGAGCGUUGUCCGGAAUUAUUGGGCGUAAAGGGCUCGUAGGCGGUUUGUCGCGUCGGGAGUGAAAACCUCGGGCUUAACUCGGGGCUUGCUUUCGAUACGGGCAGACUGGAGGUAUGCAGGGGAGAACGGAAUUCCUGGUGUAGCGGUGAAAUGCGCAGAUAUCAGGAGGAACACCGGUGGCGAAGGCGGUUCUCUGGGCAUGACCUGACGCUGAGGAGCGAAAGUGUGGGGAGCGAACAGG